AUGAACGCUGGCGGCGUGCCUAAUACCUGCAAGUCGAGCGAACAGACGAGGAGCUUGCUCCUCUGACGUUAGCGGCGGACGGGUGAGUAACCCGUGGAUAACCUACCUAUAAGACUGGGAUAACUUCGGGAAACCGGAGCUAAUACCGGAUAAUAUAUUGAACCGCAUGGUUCAAUAGUGAAAGACGGUUUUGCUGUCACUUAUAGAUGGAUCCGCGCCGCAUUAGCUAGUUGGUAAGGUAACGGCUUACCAAGGCAACGAUGCGUAGCAGACCUGAGAGGGUGAUCGGCCACACUGGAACUGAGACACGGUCCAGACUCCUACGGGAGGCAGCAGUAGGGAAUCUUCCGCAAAGGGCGAAAGCCUGACGGAGCAACGCCGCGUGAGUGAUGAAGGUCUUCGGAUCGUAAAACUCUGUUAUUAGGGAAGAACAAAUGUGUAAGUAACUAUGCACGUCUUGACGGUACCUAAUCAGAAAGCCACGGCUAACUACGUG
rnacentral:rRNA from 1 species